rnacentral:lncRNA from 1 species
CAAGGAAUCCCCAAGACAAAUUGAGGCACGACACCGGUGCAACAAGGAGAACAUGCACCACCGGUAACUCUGGCUGAAUAUUGCUUUAGAGAACAUGCGCCACGUUCGGAUGCAACACAAUCGCUGCACUUGAACAUAGCUCUGCGUCAAAAGGAGUGGUACCCUCUACCCUGUUGGAACUCAGAAAGUCAGAAGUAAAGGUAGCGAAUCUCUAGCCUUGCUGGAAGUAGGAGCAAAAUCACUUUCUUCAUCAGAUAGCCAUUGGUGCUGAUUUUGAAGUACCUACGAGUGUCUGAUUGUAGGUGUCGUCUGGUGGUUGAUGAUGUAGCCUUUGAAGAAACCACCAACCUUCCCACCAUGGAAGUCGA